UGAACGCUGGCGGCGUGCCUCAUACAUGCACGUCGAGCGAACAGACGAGGAGCUUGCUCCUCUGACGUUAGCGGCGGACGGGUGAGUAACACGUGGAUAACCUACCUAUAAGACUGGGAUAACUUCGGGAAACCGGAGCUAAUACCGGAUAAUAUAUUGAACCGCAUGGUUCAAUAGUGAAAGACGGUUUUGCUGUCACUUAUAGAUGGAUCCGCGCCGCAUUAGCUAGUUGGUAAGGUAACGGCUUACCAAGGCGACGAUGCGUAGCCGACCUGAGAGGGUGAUCGGCCACACUGGAACUGAGACACGGUCCAGACUCCUACGGGAGGCAGCAGUAGGGAAUCUUCCGCAAUGGGCGAAAGCCUGACGGAGCAACGCCGCGUGAGUGAUGAAGGUCUUCGGAUCGUAAAACUCUGUUAUUAGGGAAGAACAAAUGUGUAAGUAACUAUGCACGUCUUGACGGUACCUAAUCAGAAAGCCACGGCUAACUACGUG
rnacentral:rRNA from 1 species